UACAGAGGGUGCAAGCGUUGUUCGGAAUUAUUGGGCGUAAAGCGCGUGUAGGCGGCCGUGCAAGUCGGGUGUGAAAGCCCUCGGCUCAACCGAGGAAGUGCGCCCCGAAACUGCAUGGCUUGAGUACCGGAGAGGAUGGCGGAAUUCCCCAAGUAGAGGUGAAAUUCGUAGAUAUGGGGAGGAACACCGGUGGCGAAGGCGGCCAUCUGGACGGAUACUGACGCUGAGACGCGAAAGCGUGGGGAGCAAACGGG
rnacentral:rRNA from 1 species